rnacentral:lncRNA from 1 species
ACCGAUCGACUGCCUCGCGGUGUGACACGAACCGAUUGAAGAUGGUCCUCGAAAGGGCUGCAUAAUCUGCACUGCUGGAGUUAGAUUGCUUUGGGUUCCCUUGGUUGCAACUGGUCUCCAUCUUCUUCACCUCUGAUGGGAACACGUCGGGUGUGCACCACAACCUUCUAUAUAUUCAUCUCCGUAGCAGCCGGCAGCCGAUGGUGGAGGCAGUGGGGCUUCUUCCCCCAUCACGACGGAGCUACUCGCGGGCGAGUCCGGGGCCGACAAGGGUGAGGUGCAGGUGGGGUGACCUUAGGAGCCCAGAUUUGGGCGAACCCGACGUCGUCGAUGGUGAGGCAAGCGGAGUGGACCUCGGAAGCUUGGACCUGGGAGAGAUCAGCGCCGUCAGAGGGUGAAGCACGAGCGGGCGACUUUGGAUGCCCGAAUCUAGGAGAGAGCGGCACCAUCGGAGGGUGAAGCACAAGCGGGCGACUUCAGACGCCCAAAUCUAGGAGAGAUCGGCACCGCCGGCUCACCCAGAUCUGGGAGAGAUUGGCGCCACCAGAGGUGGAGUGCGUGCACCUGACUUCAGAUGUAAGGACGUGGGGGGAACUUCAGGGCCCCCUGCAGAAAACUUCAGCACCAUCAGAGGCCGGUCCUGCUUGCGGGUGCUCUCAGGGGACCUACUUCGAUUGGACCUACUUUGGGGUUGCUUGCAUGUGCAGGAGAAGCAUGGCCUCAGUAUCGUCCGAGGUCGGAUGCAUGGGUGCCUCUUUUCCCAUGUAGUCACUUCUGUUGUGAUUGUAAUCAAGUAGUUAUUAAUGAAAUAUUUUGCAUCAAAAUUUCUUACUUUGUUUGUAUUCAUUGCUUCGAUUUUCAUAUUUCUUCGCGAUCUGAACCAAGCGCUUAGCCUUUAUAUUCAGGGAUCUACGAGGACUUUUAUAGGUUAGCUUUAGCUUCAGAUUCGGGAGUCCUUGCAUGUUAGCUCCCAUUUCUCCACCUCCAAGACCUUCGUCGGUGCUGAAUUGUCCUUUCUCACUUCGGAUCUUAACGAGAUGACUUCGAUUUUUGUUGAGGGCCAUUGAGCAACUUCAAAUCUUGUCGAAGCUGGUUUUCUUCGCCUUGAAUCUUAUCAAGAUGACCUCAGAUCAUGUUAAAGAUUUUUAACUUCUUUUGUCUAGGCUUGGUCU